rnacentral:rRNA from 1 species
AAGAAAAAGAAAAGAAAAAAAGAGGUUUAAAAGGGGUUUAAAAGAGGUUUAAAAGAAAAAAAGGAAAAAGGAAAAAGGAAAAAUGUUG